rnacentral:rRNA from 1 species
CCUACGGGAGGCAGCAGUCGAGAAUCAUUCACGAUGGGGGAAACCCUGAUGGUGCGACGCCGCGUGGGGGAAUGAAGGUCUUCGGAUUGUAAACCCCUGUCAUGUGGGAGCAAAUUAAAAAGAUAGUACCACAAGAGGAAGAGACGGCUAACUCUGUGCCAGCAGCCGCGGUAAUACAGAGGUCUCAAGCGUUGUUCGGAAUCACUGGGCGUAAAGCGUGCGUAGGCUGUUUCGUAAGUCGUGUGUGAAAGGCGCGGGCUCAACCCGCGGACGGCACAUGAUACUGGGAGACUAGAGGAAUGGAGGGGGAACCGGAAUUCUCGGUGUAGCAGUGAAAUGCGUAGAUAUCGAGAGGAACACUCGUGGCGAAGGCGGGUUCCUGGACAUUAACUGACGCUGAGGCACGAAGGCCAGGGGAGCGAAAGGGAUUAGAUACCCGGGUAGUC